CCUGGUGGAUUAUGAACUGUAAAUAGACACUUGGCCGGGUGGCUACGAAGCUAGGGACAGGGACAGCAGAGCUGUGAGCGUGACAGCAGGACGCCUGGAGGAGGCCUGACCCAGGGUGCAAGCUUCCCACGGGCAGCAAUUCUUGUCUGUUCGUUGGAACUGAGGGUGCUGAGGACAUGUCUGUUGAAUGAAUGAACCUGCCCAAGCUGAUACUAGUGAGCGGCAGGCAGUCUGAGGCCAGAGGGCGAAAUGGUGUCUAACAAUAUUCUUGUCUUAUUAUUAUUAUCUACCAACAUGAAGUGGUGAUGCUGCUGAAGGUGGAAGUGAGCCAUCCAGAGGGGUCACGCUGCUGAGACCUCAGUCCCGCGGGUUUUCCUUUGAGUUGUCUUUCUAGAUCUUAAGUACUCUCCAAGUCAGGGAAGAAAAGCAGAAUGAAAAAUGAAAAUCAGUUUUAUUGACAGAGGUGUGUCCCUG